rnacentral:rRNA from 1 species
GACGAACGCUGGCGGCGUGCUUAACACAUGCGAGUCGAACGGAAAGGCCCUGCUUGCAGGGUACUCGAGUGGCGAACGGGUGAGUAACACGUGGGUGAUCUGCCCUGCACUUCGGGAUAAGCCUGGGAAACUGGGUCUAAUACCGGAUAGGAGCCAUUUUUAGUGUGAUGGUUGGAAAGUUUUUUCGGUGUAGGAUGAGCUCGCGGCCUAUCAGCUUGUUGGUGGGGUAAUGGCCUACCAAGGCGGCGACGGGUAGCCGGCCUGAGAGGGUGGACGGCCACAUUGGGACUGAGAUACGGCCCAGACUCCUACGGGAGGCAGCAGUGGGGAAUAUUGCACAAGGGGCGCAAGCCUGAUGCAGCGACGCCGCGUGGGGGAUGACGGCCUUCGGGUUGUAAACUCCUUUCGCUAGGGACGAAGCUUUUUGUGACGGUACCUAUAGAAGAAGCACCGGCUAACUACGUG